rnacentral:snRNA from 1 species
UCCAAGGCUAAAUACGGGC